rnacentral:rRNA from 1 species
AUAACAGUCAGAAAUGACUGCUAAUACCGCAUAAGACCACAGCACCGCAUGGUGCAGGGGUAAAAACUCCGGUGGUACAGGAUGGACCCGCGUCUGAUUAGCUGGUUGGUGAGGUAACGGCUCACCAAGGCGACGAUCAGUAGCCGGCUUGAGAGAGUGAACGGCCACAUUGGGACUGAGACACGGCCCAAACUCCUACGGGAGGCAGCAGUGGGGAAUAUUGCACAAUGGGGGAAACCCUGAUGCAGCGACGCCGCGUGAGUGAAGAAGUAUCUCGGUAUGUAAAGCUCUAUCAGCAGGGAAGAAAAUGACGGUACCUGACUAAGAAGCCCCGGCUAACUACGUGCCAGCAGCCGCGGUAAUACGUAGGGGGCAAGCGUUAUCCGGAAUUACUGGGUGUAAAGGGUGCGUAGGUGGUAUGGCAAGUCAGAAGUGAAAACCCAGGGCUUAACUCUGGGACUGCUUUUGAAACUGUCAGACUGGAGUGCAGGAGAGGUAAGCGGAAUUCCUAGUGUAGCGGUGAAAUGCGUAGAUAUUAGGAGGAACAUCAGUGGCGAAGGCGGCUUACUGGACUGAAACUGACACUGAGGCACGAAAGCGUGGGGAGCAAACAGGAUUAGAUACCCUGGUAGUCCACGCCGU